GACGAACGCUGGCGGCGUGCUUAACACAUGCAAGUCGAACGGAAAGGCCCUGCUUUUGUGGGGUGCUCGAGUGGCGAACGGGUGAGUAACACGUGAGUAACCUGCCCUUGACUUUGGGAUAACUUCAGGAAACUGGGGCUAAUACCGGAUAGGAGCUCCUGCUGCAUGGUGGGGGUUGGAAAGUUUCGGCGGUUGGGGAUGGACUCGCGGCUUAUCAGCUUGUUGGUGGGGUAGUGGCUUACCAAGGCUUUGACGGGUAGCCGGCCUGAGAGGGUGACCGGCCACAUUGGGACUGAGAUACGGCCCAGACUCCUACGGGAGGCAGCAGUGGGGAAUAUUGCACAAUGGGCGGAAGCCUGAUGCAGCGACGCCGCGUGCGGGAUGACGGCCUUCGGGUUGUAAGCCGCUUUCGCCUGUGACGAAGCGUGAGUGACGGUAAUGGGUAAAGAAGCACCGGCUAACUACGUG
rnacentral:rRNA from 1 species